rnacentral:rRNA from 1 species
UUAAAUUGAAGAGUUUGAUCAUGGCUCAGAUUGAACGCUGGCGGCAGGCCUAACACAUGCAAGUCGAACGGUAACAGGAAUCAGCUUGCUGAUUCGCUGACGAGUGGCGGACGGGUGAGUAAUGUCUGGGAAACUGCCUGAUGGAGGGGGAUAACUACUGGAAACGGUAGCUAAUACCGCAUAACGUCGCAAGACCAAAGAGGGGGACCUUCGGGCCUCUUGCCAUCGGAUGUGCCCAGAUGGGAUUAGCUAGUAGGUGGGGUAAAGGCUCACCUAGGCGACGAUCCCUAGCUGGUCUGAGAGGAUGACCAGCCACACUGGAACUGAGACACGGUCCAGACUCCUACGGGAGGCAGCAGUGGGGAAUAUUGCACAAUGGGCGCAAGCCUGAUGCAGCCAUGCCGCGUGUAUGAAGAAGGCCUUCGGGUUGUAAAGUACUUUCAGCGGGGAGGAAGGGAGUAAAGUUAAUACCUUUGCUCAUUGACGUUACCCGCAGAAGAAGCACCGGCUAACUCCGUGCCAGCAGCCGCGGUAAUACGGAGGGUGCAAGCGUUAAUCGGAAUUACUGGGCGUAAAGCGCACGCAGGCGGUUUGUUAAGUCAGAUGUGAAAUCCCCGGGCUCAACCUGGGAACUGCAUCUGAUACUGGCAAGCUUGAGUCUCGUAGAGGGGGUAGAAUUCCAGGUGUAGCGGUGAAAUGCGUAGAGAUCUGGAGGAAUACCGGUGGCGAAGGCGGCCCCCUGGACGAAGACUGACGCUCAGGUGCGAAAGCGUGGGGAGCAAACAGGAUUAGAUACCCUGGUAGUCCACGCCGUAAACGAUGUCGACUUGGAGGUUGUGCCCUUGAGGCGUGGCUUCCGGAGCUAACGCGUUAAGUCGACCGCCUGGGGAGUACGGCCGCAAGGUUAAAACUCAAAUGAAUUGACGGGGGCCCGCACAAGCGGUGGAGCAUGUGGUUUAAUUCGAUGCAACGCGAAGAACCUUACCUGGUCUUGACAUCCACAGAACUUUCCAGAGAUGGAUUGGUGCCUUCGGGAACUGUGAGACAGGUGCUGCAUGGCUGUCGUCAGCUCGUGUUGUGAAAUGUUGGGUUAAGUCCCGCAACGAGCGCAACCCUUAUCCUUUGUUGCCAGCGGUCCGGCCGGGAACUCAAAGGAGACUGCCAGUGAUAAACUGGAGGAAGGUGGGGAUGACGUCAAGUCAUCAUGGCCCUUACGACCAGGGCUACACACGUGCUACAAUGGCGCAUACAAAGAGAAGCGACCUCGCGAGAGCAAGCGGACCUCAUAAAGUGCGUCGUAGUCCGGAUUGGAGUCUGCAACUCGACUCCAUGAAGUCGGAAUCGCUAGUAAUCGUGGAUCAGAAUGCCACGGUGAAUACGUUCCCGGGCCUUGUACACACCGCCCGUCACACCAUGGGAGUGGGUUGCAAAAGAAGUAGGUAGCUUAACCUUCGGGAGGGCGCUUACCACUUUGUGAUUCAUGACUGGGGUGAAGUCGUAACAAGGUAACCGUAGGGGAACCUGCGGUUGGAUCACCUCCUUACCUUAAAGAAGC